GAUGAACGCUGGCGGCGUGCCUAAUACAUGCAAGUCGAGCGAACAGACGAGGAGCUUGCUCCUCUGACGUUAGCGGCGGACGGGUGAGUAACACGUGGAUAACCUACCUAUAAGACUGGGAUAACUUCGGGAAACCGGAGCUAAUACCGGAUAAUAUAUUGAACCGCAUGGUUCAAUAGUGAAAGACGGUUUUGCUGUCACUUAUAGAUGGAUCCGCGCCGCAUUAGCUAGUUGGUAAGGUAACGGCUUACCAAGGCAACGAUGCGUAGCCGACCUGAGAGGGUGAUCGGCCACACUGGACCUGAGACACGGUCCAGACUCCUACGGGAGGCAGCAGUAGGGAAUCUUCCGCAAUGGGCGAAAGCUUGACGGAGCAACGCCGCGUGAGUGAUGAAGGUCUUCGGAUCGUAAAACUCUGUUAUUAGGGAAGAACAAAUGUGUAAGUAACUAUGCACGUCUUGACGGUACCUAAGCAGAAAGCCACGGCUAACUACGU
rnacentral:rRNA from 1 species